rnacentral:rRNA from 1 species
GGGGAAUAUUGCACAAUGGGGGAAACCCUGAUGCAGCGACGCCGCGUGAGUGAAGAAGUAUUUCGGUAUGUAAAGCUCUAUCAGCAGGGACGAUAAUGACGGUACCUGACUAAGAAGCCCCGGCUAACUACGUGCCAGCAGCCGCGGUAAUACGUAGGGGGCAAGCGUUAUCCGGAUUUACUGGGUGUAAAGGGAGCGUAGACGGUUGUGUAAGUCAGAUGUGAAAGCCCGGGGCUUAACCCCGGGACUGCAUUUGAAACUAUGUAACUAGAGUGCAGGAGAGGUAAGUGGAAUUCCUAGUGUAGCGGUGAAAUGCGUAGAUAUUAGGAGGAACACCAGUGGCGAAGGCGGCUUACUGGACUGUAACUGACGUUGAGGCUCGAAAGCGUGGGGAGCAAAC